GAUGAACGCUAGCGGCAGGCCUAACACAUGCAAGUCGAGGGGCAGCACGUCUUCGGAUGGUGGCGACCGGCGCACGGGUGCGUAACGCGUAUGCAACCUACCUCUUACAGUGGGAUAGCCCAGAGAAAUUUGGAUUAAUACCGCAUAGUAUACAGAUUCAGCAUUGGGACUGUAUUAAACAUUUAUGGGUAAGAGAUGGGCAUGCGUUCUAUUAGUUAGUUGGAGUGGUAACGGNACCCCAAGACAGCGAUAGAUAGGGGCCCGUGAGGAGGGGGACGUCCCCACACUGGUACUGAGACACGGACCAGACUCCUACGGGAGGCAGCAGUGAGGAAUAUUGGACAAUGGGCGAGAGCCUGAUCCAGCCAUGCCGCGUGCAGGAAGACGGCCCUAUGGG
rnacentral:rRNA from 1 species